GGUAGUGGCUCAAUGGUAGAGCACUUGACUUGCACGUGUGAGGCACUGGGUUCGGUUCUCAGCACCA
rnacentral:tRNA from 1 species